rnacentral:rRNA from 1 species
GUUUGGGAAUGCAGCUCAAAAUGGGUGGUAAAUGCCAUCUAAGGCUAAAUAUUGGGGAGAGACCGAUAGCGAACAAGUACAGUGAUGGAAAGAUGAAAAGAACUUUGAAAAGAGAGUUAAACAGUACGUGAAAUUGCCAAAAGGGAAGGGUAGGAGGUCAGAGAUGCGUCUUGGGAUUCAGCCUUGCUUUUGCCUGGUGUUUUUCCCAAGUUGCAGGCCAACGUCGGUUUUGGGCACUGGAGAAGGGUAGGAGGAACGUGGCACCUCUUGGGGUGUGUUAUAGCCUCCUACUGGAUACAGCGACCGAGACCGAGGAACGCAGCGUACUCGUAAGAGCGGGCCUUUUGGCACCUUUACGCUUAGGGCGUUGGCAUAAUGGCCCUCUACCACCCGUCUUGAAACACGGACCAAGGAGUCUAACAUGUAUGCGAGUCUUUGGGUGGCAAACCCAUAGGCGCAAUGAAAGUGAAUUCAGGUGGGAUCCGCAAGGUGCACCAUCGACCGAUCCUCACGUCUUUUAAGUCGUGGAUUUGAGUAAGAGCAUACCUGUUGGGACCCGAAAGAUGGUGAACUAUGCCUGAAUAGGGUGAAGCCAGAGGAAACUCUGGUGGAGGCUCGUAGCGGUUCUGACGUGCAAAUCGAUCGUCAAAUUUGGGUAAUAGGGCGAAAGACUAAUCGAACCAUUAA